CUAGGAUCACCUCCACCCUGGGGAUAGAUGGAGCUGCACCUUGGAUCCUCUUGACCUCUUUGCCACUAGAAAAUUGGACUACUUUGCUUGACCACUGGAUGUUGCCCUCUUUCACACCCAGGGGAAUUGCGAUUACGGGCACUCAAAGCUUCAUUUAUUCCACUGGAGGAUCUGCACAUACAUAAACAAGUAAUUCAAGAAAUUAAGCUGCUGUCUUUCCAGCUCACUGCAGGAACAACAUCCCUGGUAUAAUUCCAGGAAGGAAGCAGAACUCAUGGAGUCAGCACAGCAGGGUUUGUCUCAGAGUCAUGUUUUACUCCCUACAUGGUGCAUUUCAUUUUGGUAUGCAUUGAGCACACUCCCUGCCUACCCCUAGAAAUUUUGUUUCUAGACUCAGCAGUAGCCCAGGAGUUGCUAACACUGAUGUGAAAAAGGCAGGCCAGCUUUUCUGUCCCCACUCUCAAUGUUUCCUGGAUACAUCUGUUCAUGAUUUGUUGGAAAGGUCAGUAAUAUGCUUCCCCACAUGGCAUCUGGAGGGUGCUUGCCCUGCAGGAUGUCUCUUUCCUCUGAUCCUGAAAACCAAAGAUUUUGUGGGCAUUGCUGGUCAGAAACUGACUGUGGUUUACAGGAGAUCAGGAAAACAUUUCUAGACAUCAAAGCCCCAGUAGCAUUUCAAAAACUACUUUAAAAUCUAAUUUUUCUACCAGUGAGUUCAGUAAGAGGCAAAUUAGGUCAACAAUAAAUGCUUUUGAAAGUCUUA